rnacentral:rRNA from 1 species
UGCGGCCGUAACUCCGGUUGAUCCUGCCGGACCCGACUGCUAUCGGGGUGGGGCUAAGCCAUGCAAGUCUUGGGUCCCAGGCCAUGGUGGGGCCCGGCGUACGGCUCAGUAGCACGUGGCUAACCUACCCUCGGGAGGGGGAUAACCUCGGGAAAGCUCCAUAAAGCAAGUCUUUAUGGAGCCCCGAAACUGAGGUUAAUACCCCAUAGGGGAGAACACCUGGAAUGGGUUCUCCCUGAAAGGGAUGCAACGCCAUGCCCGUUGCAUCCGCCCGAGGAUGGGGCUGCGGCCUAUCAGGUAGUUGGCGGGGUAACGGCCCGCCAAGCCGAUAACGGGUAGGGGCCGUGAGAGCGGGAGCCCCGAGAUGGGCACUGAGACAAGGGCCCAGGCCCUACGGGGCGCAGCAGGCGCGAAACCUCCGCAAUGCGGGAAACCGUGACGGGGUCACCCCGAGUGCCACCCGCUGAGGGUGGCUUUUCCUCGGUCUAAAAAGCCGAGGGAAUAAGCGGGGGGCAAGUCUGGUGUCAGCCGCCGCGGUAAUACCAGCCCCGCGAGAGGGGGAGCCCCUACUAUAAUGGGGCUCCCUUCGCGACUGGUCGGGAUGUUUACUGGGCCUAAAGCGUCCGUAGCCGGCCCGGCAAGUCCUCCCUGAAAUCCACGGGCUCAACCCGUGGGCUGGGGAGGAUACUGUCGGGCUAGGAGGUGGGAGAGGCCGAGGGUACUUCCGGGGUAGGGGCGAAAUCCGUUAAUCCCGGAAGGACCACCAGUGGCGAAGGCGCUCGGCUGGAACACGCUCGACGGUGAGGGACGAAAGCUGGGGGAGCAAAGGGGAUUAGAUACCCCCGUAGUCCCAGCUGUAAACGAUGCGGGCUAGGUGUU